rnacentral:rRNA from 1 species
GAUGAACGCUGGCGGCGUGCCUAAUACAUGCAAGUCGAGCGAACAGAUGAGGAGCUUGCUCCUCUGACGUUAGCGGCGGACGGGUGAGUAACACGUGGAUAACCUACCUAUAAGACUGGGAUAACUUCGGGAAACCGGAGCUAAUACCGGAUAAUAUAUUGAACCGCAUGGUUCAAUAGUGAAAGACGGUUUUGCUGUCACUUAUAGAUGGAUCCGCGCCGCAUUAGCUAGUUGGUAAGGUAACGGCUUACCAAGGCAACGAUGCGUAGCCGACCUGAGAGGGUGAUCGGCCACACUGGAACUGGGACACGGUCCAGACUCCUACGGGAGGCAGCAGUAGGGAAUCUUCCGCAAUGGGCGAAAGCCUGACGGAGCAACGCCGCGUGAGUGAUGAAGGUCUUCGGAUCGUAAAACUCUGUUAUUAGGGAAGAACAAAUGUGUAAGUAACGAUGCACGUCUGGACGGUACCUAAGCAGAAAGCCACGGCUAACUACGG